UGCUGUGAAAGCCCGGGGCUUAACCCCGGGUGUGCAGUGGGUACGGGCAGGCUAGAGUGCAGUAGGGGAGACUGGAAUUCCUGGUGUAGCGGUGAAAUGCGCAGAUAUCAGGAGGAACACCGAUGGCGAAGGCAGGUCUCUGGGCUGUUACUGACGCUGAGGAGCGAAAGCAUGGGGAGCGAACAGGAUUAGAUACCCUGGUAGUCCAUGCCGUAAACGUUGGGCACUAGGUGUGGGGGACAUUCCACGUUUUCCGCGCCGUAGCUAACGCAUUAAGUGCCCCGCCUGGGGAGUACGGCCGCAAGGCUAAAACUCAAAGGAAUUGACGGGGGCCCGCACAAGCGGCGGAGCAUGCGGAUUAAUUCGAUGCAACGCGAAGAACCUUACCAAGGCUUGACAUACACUGGAUCGCAGCAGAGAUGUUGUUUCCUCUUUGAGGCUGGUGUACAGGUGGUGCAUGGUUGUCGUCAGCUCGUGUCGUGAGAUGUUGGGUUAAGUCCCGCAACGAGCGCAACCCUCGUUCUAUGUUGCCAGCACGUGAUGGUGGGGACUCAUAGGAGACUGCCGGGGUCAACUCGGAGGAAGGUGGGGAUGACGUCAAAUCAUCAUGCCCCUUAUGUCUUGGGCUUCACGCAUGCUACAAUGGCCGGUACAAUGGGUUGCGAUACUGUGAGGUGGAGCUAAUCCCAAAAAGCCGGUCUCAGUUCGGAUUGGGGUCUGCAACUCGACCCCAUGAAGUCGGAGUCGCUAGUAAUCGCAGAUCAGCAACGCUGCGGUGAAUACGUUCCCGGGCCUUGUACACACCGCCCGUCAAGUCACGAAAGUUGGUAACACCCGAAGCCGAUGGCCUAACCCUUGUGGA
rnacentral:rRNA from 1 species